UGACUAUUAAACCUAAUAUAGUGACAUUACGUAUUUCUAUACUUAAUUGCUGACUCAUAUUAGUCUUUUUUUAUGUAAAAGGAGGAAGGAGAACAUUCUCCCAAUUUAUUAAAAAGAAAUUAAAAAUACAAAUAGAAAAAGGUACAAGAAGGGAGAAGUUAAAGUUACAAGAAGAUUAAUCUUAGCUUCUGAAUAAUGGCUCAAUCUUCCUCACUAAAGAGGGAUGCCUGAUCUUCCUCUUAUGAGAGCAUAAAUUGAACCACGGGUGAAAGUUUGACGAGGCCUUCCAAACUUGCCAACAAAUAACCAGGACAAGCUGGUCCCAAGCUCGACAAAAGGAGGAAUGAAUUUUCUUAUAUUGCCAAGAAGUCCAUUAUGACUGUAAGGAGGCUGGUCAUCCUCUCCAGUUAAGGCAUCAAGGCAAUUUUUAAUAUCAAAGCAAACUCCCUUAGUAAAAGGGAAAAAAAGAAAUAGAUGGUUAGCUGUUUCUUGGGAGGCUCUGCAUAAGGAACAGGUAAUGCUUAUAAACCAACCUUUUCUAGCCAAGAGAUCUCUGGUAUGGAUUCAGUUUUUCAAGGCCAGCCACAUGAACACUUUCACUUUCUCUGAUGCAUGUCUUCCAUAGUGCUUUAUAAUAGGGACAAAGAAGUCCUCCACAAUUUAGAAAGGAAUAGUAGGAGCAAACCAAGUAUUUGCCAAAAUCUAAAAGUUUGCACAUCGGUAGAUCCAUACCGAAGCUCUUCCAAUUCACUAUCCUCCUUUCCUGACAAAGGACCAACUAAUCUAUUUUCCAAGCCUUCCAACUUCAACUGCAUUGAGAGGCUACCAAAAUUUUUUCAUCUUAAUGUAAACCUACAAUAAUAAUACUGCAUAUUUUUGUACUUCAUUGUUGGCUCAGAUUAGUCAAAUGGCAUGUUUGGCCAUUUGGUGAUGAGUUCAGAUAGAUGAGAAGUCAAGUCAACAACAGAAGAAUGCUUCUCUUUUUCCUAUCCUUAACUCUCUUGUGUACAAAGCAAACAAAUUUUCUCACUAAUGAGGGCAGUCAGCCAGUUAAACCCAUAUAAAAAGGCUGCAUAUUGCUCUCUGAUAUGAGUAAGAGAAAAAGGAUAAAGAUAUGAGAAAAGUAGAACAACGGAGGGACCAAAAAGGCUAGCUAGUAAUUUCUUGGAGACCUUCAGCAAGCUCUCAUGCUUCAUUUGAGACUCAAGAGACCCUAUGCUACAAGCUUAAGUGUUUGAUCUCUCAAAAGUAUAAAAUCUAUACAUUUAUAUGCGACAAAUAUUCAUGACUUUGUCUUCUUAAUUAUUAUAUGAAACACAAAAUCCUGUCCAAUUUCUGCUGUGUACAGUACUUGGGUGUCGACCACCACCACCAUCAGAGUGGUAUCAAUAAUACAGAUUUUACUCUGGCUAAGAAUACAACUCCUAUAAAAUGAUCUAUAUGUUGUUUCGGCAAGACAGAUAUAUUUUUGCGCAUAGCACUCAUUAUUA
rnacentral:lncRNA from 1 species